rnacentral:ncRNA from 1 species
AUUAAUUAUUAUUUAUCCUUAAUUUAUAUGCACAGUAAAUUGUUGAUAUCUAAUAGUUAAUAAUCCACACGUGGUAAGAGGUCAUAGUUAGGUUCACUGUGAUGUGCAACUCUUAUAAUGAGCAACCAAUCCUAAGCAAGUGUAGUGUUAACAUGGUGCUUGACAGUCUGAUACUAACUGAACAAUAAGUAUUA